rnacentral:rRNA from 1 species
GACGAACGCUGGCGGCGUGCUUAACACAUGCAAGUCGAACGGAAAGGCCCUGCUUUUGUGGGGUGCUCGAGUGGCGAACGGGUGAGUAACACGUGAGUAACCUGCCCUUGACUUUGGGAUAACUUCAGGAAACUGGGGCUAAUACCGGAUAGGAGCUCCUGCUGCAUGGUGGGGGUUGGAAAGUUUCGGCGGUUGGGGAUGGACUCGCGGCUUAUCAGCUUGUUGGUGGGGUAGUGGCUUACCAAGGCUUUGACGGGUAGCCGGCCUGAGAGGGUGACCGGCCACAUUGGGACUGAGAUACGGCCCAGACUCCUACGGGAGGCAGCAGUGGGGAAUAUUGCACAAUGGGCGGAAGCCUGAUGCAGCAACGCCGCGUGCGGGAUGACGGCCUUCGGGUUGUAAACCGCUUUCGCCUGUGACGAAGCGUGAGUGACGGUAAUGGGUAAAGAAGCACCGGCUAACUACGUGCCAGCAGCCGCGGUGAUACGUAGGGUGCGAGCGUUGUCCGGAUUUAUUGGGCGUAAAGGGCUCGUAGGUGGUUGAUCGCGUCGGAAGUGUAAUCUUGGGGCUUAACCCUGAGCGUGCUUUCGAUACGGGUUGACUUGAGGAAGGUAGGGGAGAAUGGAAUUCCUGGUGGAGCGGUGGAAUGCGCAGAUAUCAGGGGGAACACCAGUGGCGAAGGCGGUUCUCUGGGCCUUUCCUGACGCUGAGGAGCGAAAGCGUGGGGAGCGAACAGGCUUAGAUACCCUGGUAGUCCACGCUGUAAACGGUGGGUACUAGGUGUGGGGUCCAUUCCACGGGUUCCGUGCCGUAGCUAACGCUUUAAGUACCCCGCCUGGGGAGUACGGCCGCAAGGCUAAAACUCAAAGGAAUUGACGGGGCCCCGCACAAGCGGCGGAGCAUGCGGAUUAAUUCGAUGCAACGCGUAGAACCUUACCUGGGUUUGACAUGGAUCGGGAGUGCUCAGAGAUGGGUGUGCCUCUUUUGGGGUCGGUUCACAGGUGGUGCAUGGCUGUCGUCAGCUCGUGUCGUGAGAUGUUGGGUUAAGUCCCGCAACGAGCGCAACCCUUGUUCACUGUUGCCAGCACGUUAUGGUGGGGACUCAGUGGAGACCGCCGGGGUCAACUCGGAGGAAGGUGGGGAUGACGUCAAGUCAUCAUGCCCCUUAUGUCCAGGGCUUCACGCAUGCUACAAUGGCUGGUACAGAGAGUGGCGAGCCUGUGAGGGUGAGCGAAUCUCGGAAAGCCGGUCUCAGUUCGGAUUGGGGUCUGCAACUCGACCUCAUGAAGUCGGAGUCGCUAGUAAUCGCAGAUCAGCAACGCUGCGGUGAAUACGUUCCCGGGGCU